GAUGAACGCUAGCGGCAGGCCUAACACAUGCAAGUCGAGGGGGAAGUUCCUUUCGGGUAACUGAGACCGGCGUACGGGUGCGUAACGCGUAUACAAUCUGCCUUUCACUGGGGGAUAGCCCGAAGCAGUUUGGUUUAAUACCCCAUAGUAUAGUAGUGUGGCAUCACACAACUAUUAAAGCUUAGGUGGUGAAAGAUGAGUAUGCGUUCUAUUAGCUAGUUGGAGAGGUAACGGCUCCCCAAGGCUAUGAUAGAUAGGGGUUCUGAGAGGGAUGUCCCCCAGACGGGUACUGAGAUACGGACCAGACACCUACGGGAGGCAGCAGUGAGGAAUGUUGGACAAUGGUCGGAAGACUGAUCCAGCCAUGCCGCGUGCAGGAUGAAGGUCUUAGGGAUUGUAAACUGCUUUUGUAAGGGAAGAAUAAGGACUACGUGUAGUUGGAUGACGGUACCUGAUGAAUAAGCAUCGGCUAACUCCGUG
rnacentral:rRNA from 1 species